rnacentral:rRNA from 1 species
UACGUAGGGGGCUAGCGUUGUCCGGAAUCAUUGGGCGUAAAGAGCGUGUAGGCGGUCCGGUAAGUCCGCUGUGAAAGUCGGGGGCUCAACCCUCGAAUGCCGGUGGAUACUGUCGGGCUAGAGUGCGGAAGAGGCGAGUGGAAUUCCUGGUGUAGCGGUGGAAUGCGCAGAUAUCGGGAGGAACACCCGUGGCGAAGGCGGCACUCUGGGACGGUACUGACGCUGAGACGCGAAAGCGUGGGGAGCAAACAGG